GGGCCGGGCGGCCAUGCCGACAGGCUGCAGGUCACUGGAGCUCCUGCAGAAUCAAGCUAAUUUUGGGGAAAAUACCCACCUUAUGCUGCAUGAGAGCUCUGGUGGUUCGGGGAACGGAGUCCAGGAUAGUCCCGGUGUAGCUGGAGCACCUGUUACCGGGUGACUCUAGGUCCUGGAGAGACAUUUUGGGGCUUGAGACCAGAGGCCUACCCAGG